rnacentral:rRNA from 1 species
GACGAACGCUGGCGGCGUGCCUAAUACAUGCAAGUCGAACGGUCUUUUCUAUGGAAGCUUGCUUCCACUGAGAAGAUAGUGGCGAACGGGUGAGUAACACGUGGGUAACCUGCCCAUAAGAGGGGGAUAACAUCCGGAAACGGGUGCUAAUACCGCAGAGGUUUCUUGGUCGCAUGAUCGAGAAAGGAAAGACGGCCUUUGUGCUGUCGCUUAUGGAUGGACCCGCGGCGUAUUAGUUAGUUGGUGAGGUAACGGCUCACCAAGACGAUGAGACGUAGCCGACCUGAGAGGGUGAUCGGCCACAUUGGGACUGAGACACGGCCCAAACUCCUACGGGAGGCAGCAGUAGGGAAUCUUCCGCAAUGGACGAAAGUCUGACGGAGCAACGCCGCGUGAGUGAAGAAGGUUUUCGGAUCGUAAAACUCUGUUGUCAGAGAAGAACAAGUCGGAGAGUAACUGCUCCGGCCUUGACGGUAUCUGACCAGAAAGCCACGGCUAACUACGUGCCAGCAGCCGCAGUAAAAC